CUAUAGAAGGACAAAUUACCAAGAGGGGAAUGUUUCCUGGAGGUAUUUAUGGGUAGAUAGUACAGCAUAAUGGUUGGGAGGGCUAAGGGUAAGAUUAGAGCCAUACUACUGGUCUCAAAUACUACUAACUGUUUGAAAUUUGGCAGUAAGUUAAUCUCCCCUUGCCUCAGUUUUCUUAUCUUUAAGAUGAAGCUCAUAAUGACUUAACACUAUGGCUGCUGUGAGG
rnacentral:lncRNA from 1 species